CUCUACAUUUCUCUCGGCCACAAUUCUUGAGCAAGAAGUCGUCAUCUCAAGCGAGAAGUUGCAGUCUCAAGUGGAUCAUUUGGAGCGCAGUUCGCCAAGCUAGAAGAGGAAUCAGCCGUCUCGUUUUCAAUUAGAAUGCUCUAAUUCAAUCGUGAUUUUGAUGUGUUCAAUUUGGUAUAGACGGUUGGGUUGUUCGGCGGAGGUGGAGAUGGUGACGGAGGCGAGCCGUCAAGCUUGGCCACCAGUAGCGAAAGCCAAUGGGUUUCCCUGAUUUGGCCAAUGUUUCUUUCGUUGAGUCAACGGCAAAGCCUGGUCUCCACCUUGGUGCCUGUUGUGAUCGGCAUAGGAGAGAUGGGAUGUUCACCGCAUCAAAUGAUAAGAGAACAAUUCGUCAACCUUGUGAUUGAAGAAUCGAGAUGCACUAAAGUAAAGUGGAAACAUUUUGAAAUUUAGACCGAUAGUUUUCUCUUGUGAUGCCUUCACCUAUGAUGCCAAACAAAAUACUACUAUCUCAUUCCCUGAAAA